rnacentral:misc_RNA from 1 species
GGUACAUGAACAUGAAUGGCCCACACUUCACCUUUUGAUCUGGAAUUUUAUUUUUUUGCAUCAAAAACAAACUGUAUAAACUGUUUUCCACACUCAUUACCCAAGAUUAUAACUUCAAAUCCUUUAUUAUUCUUUUCUUCUUUUAAUGCUAACCUUUACUACAUAAGCAAGGCUUCAUCUCACCAUAUGCAAGUAAAAGUAACUCUUUCGAAGGCCGAUGGUAUUUGCCCCAUGAAAAGUGCUACAGGUAUCCGCUAUAUAUAUGCACUAGCCAGCUAGCAAAACUCAUGCUCUAAAUGCCCAGUACCACAGUUGAACAAACCUUAAUGUCUUCUCUCCAGCUCCUUCUCCUUCUCCUUGUUCUCUGCCCCUUCCAAAAAGUUUCCAGUGUCGGAGUAAACUAUGGUACUCUCGGAAACAACCUCCCAUCACCGAAGAGAGUAGCGCAGCUCCUUCAGUCCACACUCAUUGACAAGGUCAAAAUCUACGACACUAAUCCUGAAAUCCUCGAGGCCUUUUCCAACACCGGAAUAGACCUCAUUGUCGCGGUGGAGAACUAUCAUGUGGCAAACAUCAGCUCCGAGGUAUCAGCUGCAGACGAGUGGUUUGCCAACCGUGUGCUGCCCUUUAUUCCUGCCACUUCCAUAGUGGCCAUAGCCGUAGGCAAUGAGUAUUUAACCACAGAUCCCGACCAUUUGCGCCCAAAUAAUCUUGUUCAAGCCAUGCAGAACUUGCAUGCAGUGCUAGUAGCACGUGGGCUUGAUCGCAAAAUCAAGAUCACAACCCCACAUAGCAUGGCUGUUCUUGCUUCCUCAUUUCCUCCUUCAGCUUCCUCUUUCGCCACUACCCUUAUGCCCACCAUGACCUCCUUGGUGGGAUUUCUAGCUGACACUGGUUCUUCUUUCAUGGUCAAUGCUUACCCAUAUUUCGCUUACAGGGACAACCCUAGUUCAGUUAAUCUACAGUAUGCCUUACUAGGUAAUGCUACCGGAGUCCGUGAUCCUAUGGGCUAUAUCUACAACAAUAUGUUAGAUGCACAAAUUGAUGCUGUUAGAUCAGCCAUCAACGCACUAGGGUAUGGAAAUCAGACUGUUAAGAUUACAGUGUCGGAAUCUGGUUGGCCAUCCAAAGGUGAUCCUGGCGACACAGCAGCGACUCCAGAUAAUGCAAAGACUUAUAAUACCAGGUUGAUCCAACGUGCACAGUCCAAUAAAGGGACGCCCAUGAAGCCUAAGGAUAAUAUAGAGAUAUUUGUGUUUGCUUUGUUCAAUGAGAACAAAAAGGAUGGUGGUGCGAGUGAAAGAAAUUUUGGGAUUUUUAAUGGGGAUGGAUCUAAGGUAUACGAUGUGGAUUUGAGCUGCCAGUUCUGCAGCAAUGAAGGGACAUUUGAAUUCGGAGAGAAAACGUCAAGUGGAGUAAGAGGUCCUUCAGUUUGGUGUGUGGCUAAGCCCCAUGCAGAUGAGAAGGUGCUUCAAGCUGUGUUGGACUUCUGCUGUGGACCAGGUGGAGUGGAUUGCAGAGAGAUAUAUGAAAGUGGUAAUUGUUUUGCACCAGACAAGCUCCAUGCACAUGCAUCAUUUGCCAUGAAUGCAUAUUAUCAGAUGCAUGGAAGGAACUACUGGAACUGCGACUUCAAGGGCACUGGACUCGUCACCUUCAGUGAUCCAAGCUAUGGUAAAUGCCGGUAUCCCCAGCAGUGAAUAUGGCAGUACAGCAAUAAUGUUAUUUGCCCAUAUGGUUUGCAGCUAAUUUUGUACUGUUUACAGUACCGCCAAAAGUUUAUAAGAAAUGGUUGUCUUCAUUACAGAAUUUUGAAUAUUUUGUUGGUUUGUCUGAAAAAAGGAGCCUUAAAAGUGUCUUUUUAUUGGGGGGAAAGAAGAUAAAGAUGAGCACAUGGAUGGAUAUCUCCAUAAUCAAAGGCAUUUUUUUUGGUUCUUGGGUUGAAAAAUUUGUUGCCUUUUCUUGUAGAAGGAAUCUUGGCCAGGCCAUUUUCUACCCUUGGGGCCUAUCUGUCCUGCAGUGACCUGCAAAAGGAUGGGUCCCAUAGGCAAACUUUUCCGGAGGAAAAUUAUUAGCUCAAG